rnacentral:rRNA from 1 species
GGUUAAGUGAAUAAGGGCGCACGGUGGAUGCCUUGGCACUAGGAGCCGAUGAAGGACGGGACUAACACCGAUAUGCUUUGGGGAGCUGUACGUAAGCUAUGAUCCAGAGAUUUCCGAAUGGGGGAACCCAACAUCUUUAAUAGGAUGUUACGAUUGUGUGAAUACAUAGCACAUUCGAGGUAGACGCAGAGAACUGAAACAUCUAAGUACCUGCAGGAAGAGAAAGAAAAUUCGAUUCCCUGAGUAGCGGCGAGCGAAACGGGAAAAGCCCAAACCAGCAAGCUUGCUUGUUGGGGUUGUAGGACUCCAAUAUGGUAGUUCUUUCAGAUAGUCGAAUGACUUGGAAAAGUCAGUCAAAGAGGGUAAAAACCCCGUAGACGAAAUGUGGAAGACACCUAGGAGGAUCCUGAGUACGGCGGAACACGAGAAAUUCCGUCGGAAUCCGGGAGGACCAUCUCCCAAGGCUAAAUACUCCCUAGUGACCGAUAGUGAACCAGUACCGUGAGGGAAAGGUGAAAAGCACCCCGGAAGGGGAGUGAAAUAGAACCUGAAACCGUGUGCCUACAACAAGUCAAAGCCCGUUAAUGGGUGAUGGCGUGCCUUUUGUAGAAUGAACCGGCGAGUUACGAUUGCAUGCGAGGUUAAGUUGAAGAGACGGAGCCGCAGCGAAAGCGAGUCUGAAUAGGGCGUUUGAGUAUGUAGUCGUAGACCCGAAACCAUGUGAUCUACCCAUGUCCAGGUUGAAGGUGCGGUAAAACGCACUGGAGGACCGAACCCACGUACGUUGAAAAGUGCGGGGAUGAGGUGUGGGUAGCGGAGAAAUUCCAAACGAACUUGGAGAUAGCUGGUUCUCUCCGAAAUAGCUUUAGGGCUAGCCUCGGAAUUGAGAAUGAUGGAGGUAGAGCACUGUUUGGACUAGGGGCCCAUCUCGGGUUACCGAAUUCAGAUAAACUCCGAAUGCCAUUCAUUCAUAUCCGGGAGUCAGACUGUGAGUGAUAAGAUCCAUAGUCGAAAGGGAAACAGCCCAGACCACCAGCUAAGGUCCCAAAAUAUAUGUUAAGUGGAAAAGGAUGUGGGGUUGCACAGACAACUAGGAUGUUGGCUUAGAAGCAGCCACCAUUUAAAGAGUGCGUAAUAGCUCACUAGUCGAGUGACCCUGCGCCGAAAAUGUACCGGGGCUAAACAUAUUACCGAAGCUGUGGAGUACACCUUUAGGUGUAUUGGUAGGAGAGCGUUCUAAGGGCGUUGAAGGCAGAUCGUGAGGACUGCUGGAGCGCUUAGAAGUGAGAAUGCCGGUAUGAGUAGCGAAAGACAGGUGAGAAUCCUGUCCACCGAAUGACUAAGGUUUCCUGGGGAAGGCUCGUCCGCCCAGGG